UACAGAGGGGGCAAGCGUUGUUCGGAAUUACUGGGCGUAAAGGGCGCGUAGGCGGCCUUCUAAGUCGAACGUGAAAUCCCCAGGCUUAACCUGGGAACUGCGUCGGAUACUGGAUGGCUUGAAUCCGGGAGAGGGAUGCGGAAUUCCAGGUGUAGCGGUGAAAUGCGUAGAUAUCAGGAGGAACACCGGUGGCGAAGGCGGCUUUCUGGACAGUAACUGACGCUGAGGCGCGAAAGCUAGGGGAGCAAACAGG
rnacentral:rRNA from 1 species